rnacentral:rRNA from 1 species
UGCAAGUCGACGGAAAGGCCCAGCUUGCUGGGUACUCGAGUGGCGAACGGGUGAGUAACACGUGGGUGAUCUGCCCUGCACUCUGGGAUAAGCCUGGGAAACUGGGUCUAAUACCGGAUAUGACCAACUGUCGCAUGGUGGUUGGUGGAAAGCUUUUGCGGUGUGGGAUGGGCCCGCGGCCUAUCAGCUUGUUGGUGGGGUAAUGGCCUACCAAGGCGACGACGGGUAGCCGACCUGAGAGGGUGAUCGGCCACACUGGGACUGAGACACGGCCCAGACUCCUACGGGAGGCAGCAGUGGGGAAUAUUGCACAAUGGGCGCAAGCCUGAUGCAGCGACGCCGCGUGAGGGAUGACGGCCUUCGGGUUGUAAACCUCUUUCACCAGGGACGAAGCGGAAGUGACGGUACCUGGAGAAGAAGCACCGGCCAACUACGUGCCAGCAGCCGCGGUAAUACGUAGGGUGCGAGCGUUGUCCGGAAUUACUGGGCGUAAAGAGCUCGUAGGCGGUUUGUCGCGUCGUCUGUGAAAUUCUGCAACUCAAUUGCAGGCGUGCAGGCGAUACGGGCAGACUUGAGUACUACAGGGGAGACUGGAAUUCCUGGUGUAGCGGUGAAAUGCGCAGAUAUCAGGAGGAACACCGGUGGCGAAGGCGGGUCUCUGGGUAGUAACUGACGCUGAGGAGCGAAAGCGUGGGUAGCGAACAGGAUUAGAUACCCUGGUAGUCCACGCCGU